GUGCCAGCCGCCGCGGUAAUACGUAGGUGGCAAGCGUUAUCCGGAAUUAUUGGGCGUAAAGCGCGCGUAGGCGGUUUUUUAAGUCUGAUGUGAAAGCCCACGGCUCAACCGUGGAGGGUCAUUGGAAGCUGGAAAACUUGAGUGCAGAAGAGGAAAGUGGAAUUCCAUGUGUAGCGGUGAAAUGCGCAGAGAUAUGGAGGAACACCAGUGGCGAAGGCGACUUUCUGGUCUGUAACUGACGCUGAUGUGCGAAAGCGUGGGGAU
rnacentral:rRNA from 1 species